rnacentral:rRNA from 1 species
GACGAACGCUGGCGGCGUGCCUAACACAUGCAAGUCGAACGGAGAUUUCAUUUAUGAAAUCUUAGUGGCGAACGGGUGAGUAACGCGUAGACAACCUACCGCUUAGAUGGGGACAACACUGGGAAAAUAGUGCUAAUACCGAAUGUUGUAUUUUGGUCGCAUGACCAAAAUACUAAAGGUGGCCUCUGUAUAUGUUAUCGCUAAGUGAGGGGUCUGCGUCUGAUUAGCUAGUUUGUGAGGUAAUGGCUGACCAAGUCGACGAUCAGUAGCGGGUCUGAGAGGAUGAACGGCCACACUGGGACUGAGACACGGCCCAGACUCCUACGGGAGGCAGCAGUGGGGAAUCUUCCGCAAUGGACGAAAGUCUGACGGAGCAACGCCGCGUGAGUGAAGAAGGUUUUCGGAUCGUAAAACUCUGUUUUCAGGGACGAAUGUACUUUGUAUAAAUAAUGCGAAGUAAUGACGGUACCUGAGUAGAAAGCCACGGCUAACUACGUGUCAGCAGCCGCGGUAAUAC